CAAGCCUAGGGCAAAUGUUGGUACGAGAUAUUUUGAAAAGCAAAUUGGCCAGUGGGUCUAACACAGCAGUGGUGGGAAGAGUAGUGUCAAUAUUAAAGGGGUCACCACGAACAAGUGAGUGCUGAGUCAGUUCAGAUAAAUCAUCAAACAACAAGCACACACCCUUCUUAGUAAAUGGAACAUGCAACCCAUCAUCAUCUAAACCCUUAAACUUAAGCAUAGCAUUGAGCAUCAUAGGAGUAAGGCGAAUGUAUUGAUCCCUAACCCGACUGACAUACUCAAUCGACCCAUCAGUUUCAUCAGUUUCAAUAUGCAGAUUACUGUAGAACUCAAGCACUAACAGAGGAUAACACACA
rnacentral:lncRNA from 1 species